rnacentral:rRNA from 1 species
UACGUAUGGAGCGAGCGUUGUCCGGAAUUAUUGGGCGUAAAGGGUGCGCAGGCGGCUUUACAAGUUGGAUGUGAAAUAUUGUGGCUCAACCACAAACGUGCAUCCAAAACUGCAAAGCUUGAGUUAAGGAGAGGUAAGUGGAUUCCUGGUGUAGCGGUGGAAUGCGUAGAUAUCAGGAGGAUACCGGUGGCGAAGGCGACUUACUGGACUUAAACUGACGCUCAGGCACGAAAGCGUGGGGAGCAAACAGGAUUAGAUAC